GCCCUAGCGUUUGUCGAUGCGAUUCGGGCCGGUUUCGUCGAACGCCGUUGCAGUUUGCCCGUCGGUUCGCCUCCGAACACCAUCGGUGUCCGAAUCCGUUGUUUCGCCGGGCGGCCCGGCGGUCGGCGUGUUGCGUGUCCGCCUUUUCCGUUAUCGCCCGUCCGUACGGUUGACGGCGCACACCUAAACCGAGUUCAACCGCUUCGGUAACACCAGCGUGCUCUCCGAUCGCGCACUCGAAUCGCGAUUUAUCGUCCAUGUUUCGGGUGCCGAUCGUUACGCGACGUUAUUGUGCGCGCGGAGUUGGUUGUUGUUUUUUUUUUUUAUUGUUUUCACAAUCGUUUCACUCGGAUUUCCGUACGGGGGGACAGUCGAUGGGCGAGCCGAACGAAUCGCGAAAUCGCCUUCUCCACCGGACUCGUCCACGUCAUGGCGGCUGUCGGCAAUUUAAAAGCCGGGUCUUAGAAAAGAAAUUAUAAAAACCGAUUUUCAUCGGCCCAUUGAGCUUUCCCCCGCGACUCGGCCGAAAUACGCGCGCAUUUCGACGUGAAACCGCUCGUGUUCGUUUGUAUUUUUAAGCCGGCGGGUAGGCGGGGGACGGAUAUCGUCCCUGACGUCCCGACCCGCGCACCACGCCCCAUUCCCGGCAGACAGUUUUUCGGUUAGAAAAUUCGAAUUAUUAUUCGGAAAAUUCGUGUUUUAGAAACCGACGGUACGCCGGUUUGGAAAUACGAGACUUCAAACAUUUUCAACGGAAUCAGGCUCGGUACAGACUGAUUUUUCCGUUACGAAGGAGUUUCCAUUACGGGGAGACUAAAACACGCGGGUGUAGGGUGCAAGCGAGACUACCGUUCGAUGUCCGUUUAGAGGAGUUUUCCGCUUUAUAGAAUGGUCCGUUACGCGGGGAGGUUCGGCUGUAAUAUGCGGGGUUGGUUUUUUUUUUUUUUUUUAAUGAAAAAGCGCGGUCUGUUGGGGCGCGGCCUUCGGAGACCCCUUCCCCCCACUCCCUAUGAAGCCACCCCGGCCCGAUUGUCGCGCGUAACACACUGCGUAUC